rnacentral:rRNA from 1 species
UACGGAGGGUGCGAGCGUUGUCCGGAAUCAUUGGGCGUAAAGGGCGCGUAGGUGGCGGGACAAGCGUGCGGUGAAAGCUCGGGGCUCAACCCCGCGUCGGCCGUGCGAACUGUUUUGCUUGAGCACUGUAGAGGCAGGCGGAAUUCCGGGUGUAGUGGUGAAAUGCGUAGAUAUCGGGAGGAACACCAGUGGCGAAGGCGACUUCCUGGCCUGUUCUUGACGCUGAGGCGCGAAAGCUAGGGGAGCAAACGGG